AUUGCACGCUGGCGGCAGGCCUAACACCUGCAAGUCGAGCGAGCGGCGGACGGGUGAGUAAUGUAUGGGGACUGCCCGAUAGAGGGGGAUAACUACUGGAAACGGUGGCUAAUACCGCAUACUAUCGGAUAACCCAUAUGGGAUUAGCUAGUAGGUGGGGUAAAGGCUCACCUGGGCGACGAUCGCUAGAUGGUCUGAGAGGAUGAACAGCCACACGGGGACUGAGACACGUCCCAUACCCCUCCGGAGCGAGCAGUGGGGACUAUUGCACAAUGGGCGCGAGCCUGAUGCAGCCAUGCCGCGUGUAUGAAGAAGGCCUUAGGGUUGUAAAGUACUUUCAGCGGGGAGGCGUUACCCGCAGAAGAAGCCCCGGCUAACUCCGUGCCAGCAGCCGCGGUAAUUC
rnacentral:rRNA from 1 species